rnacentral:rRNA from 1 species
CACCGGCGGCUCGAGUGGUGGCCACUUUUAUUGGGUCUAAAGCGUCCGUAGGCGGCUUGGCAAGUCCCCUGGGAAAUCUGGCGGCUUAACCGUCAGGCGUCCAGAGGAUACUGCCAGGCUUGGGACCGGGAGAGGUGAGAGGUACCUCAGGGGUAGGGGUGAAAUCUUGUGAUCCCUGAGGGACCACCAGUGGCGAAGGCGUCUCACUAGAACGGGUCCGACGGUCAGGGACGAAAGCUGGGGGCACGAACCGG